rnacentral:rRNA from 1 species
AUUGAACGCUGGCGGAAUGCUUUACACAUGCAAGUCGAACGGCAGCACGGACUUCGGUCUGGUGGCGAGUGGCGAACGGGUGAGUAGUGUAUCGGAACGUGCCCAGUCGGGGGGGAUAACGUAGUGAAAAUUACGCUAAUACCGCAUACGAUCUAUGGAUGAAAGCGGGGGAUCGCAAGACCUCGCGCGAUUGGAGCGGCCGAUAUCAGAUUAGGUAGUUGGUGGGGUAAAGGCCCACCAAGCCAACGAUCUGUAGCUGGUCUGAGAGGACGACCAGGCAACAUGGAACUGGGACACGGUCCAGACUCCUACGGGAGGCAGCAGUGGGGAAUUUUGGACAAUGGGCGAAAGCCUGAUCCAGCCAUUCCGCGUGCAGGAUGAAGGCCCUCGGGUUGUAAACUGCUUUUGUACAGAACGAAAAGGUUUCUACUAAUACUAGGAGCUCAUGACGGUACUGUAAGAAUAAGCACCGGCUAACUACGUGCCAGCCGCCGCAGUAA